UUGAGAAGAGGGCACAGAAAAAUUGUCGUCAUCCCGAAUCGGGAACGUUGCAUUACUUUGAGGAAUUCUAUCCUCUUGGGGCCUCUUUGCCUUUCUCACCUGGUCCCACAGCAAAAAUGUGAGUACUCUUUCUUGGCAUAUUGAGAGGUGAUGAAAAGCGUGAAGCAGGAGCAGCAAAGGCUUGGAAAACUUGAGCCCACCUGCAAUGCUGGUUUUGUGCGCCCACGAGACACUGCUUCGUGCAGGAUCGUACGCAUGCGCUGCUGCCUCGUGAGCAGAUGUGCUGCAGGCAUGACUCGAUCCUGUCGAUGACGUUGAAUGUUCCUGGCCACAAAUAGACAAAGAGAACACCUUUUCAGAAGUUAAUGGCUGAGUCUUCGAGUAGAUAUCUAUAAGGAAACCGGUCCAAGAAACGAAUGAGUACUUUUCUACAGGACUAAAACGUGGAGAUCGUUUGUGAAGAGAAUUGAAGAGAUCUCUUAAACCAAGUCAAACACGAUAUCAGUGUACGAAAUAAUACAAUGAAAGCCGG
rnacentral:lncRNA from 1 species